GAUGAACGCUGGCGGCGUGCUUAACACAUGCAAGUCGAACGGUGAAGCAGGAGCUUGCUCUUGUGGAUCAGUGGCGAACGGGUGAGUAACACGUGAGCAACCUGCCCCUGACUCUGGGAUAAGCGCUGGAAACGGCGUCUAAUACUGGCUAUGUGAUGUGACCGCAUGGUCUGCAUCUGGAAAGAAUUUCGGUUGGGGAUGGGCUCGCGGCCUAUCAGCUUGUUGUUGAGGUAAUGGCUCACCAAGGCGUCGACGGGUAGCCGGCCUGAGAGGGUGACCGGCCACACUGGGACUGAGACACGGCCCAGACUCCUACGGGAGGCAGCAGUGGGGAAUAUUGCACAAUGGGCGGAAGCCUGAUGCAGCAACGCCGCGUGAGGGAUGACGGCCUUCGGGUUGUAAACCUCUUUUAGCAGGGAAGAGGCGAAAGUGACAGUACCUGCAGAAAAAGCACCGGCUAACUACGUGCCAGCCGCCGCCGUAA
rnacentral:rRNA from 1 species